rnacentral:rRNA from 1 species
CUGGCGGCGUGCCUAACACAUGCAAGUCGAGCGGAGAUAUAGAGAGAUUCUUCGGAUACUUCUUAUCUUAGCGGCGGAUGGGUGAGUAACACGUGGGUAACCUGCCCUAGCACAGGGGGAUAACAGCUGGAAACGGCUGUUAAUACCGCAUAUGCACACGCUGCCGCAUGGCAGAGGGUGGAAAGAUUUAUCGGUGCAGGAUGGGCCCGCGUCGGAUUAACUGGUUGGCAGGGUAACGGCCUACCAAGGUGAUGAUCCGUAGCCGACCUGAGAGGGUGACCGGCCACAUUGGGACUGAGACACGGCCCAAACUCCUACGGGAGGCAGCGGUGGGGGAUAUUGCACAAUGGGCGCAAAGCCUGAUGCAGCGACGCCGCGUGAAGGAAGAAGUAUUUCGGUAUGUAAACUUCUAUCAGCGGGGAAGAAGAUGACGGUACCCGACUAAGAAGCCCCGGCUAACUACGUGCCAGCCGCGGC